AGUGGCGGACGGGUGAGUAACGCGUGAGAAUCUGCCUUGGGGUCGGGGACAACCACUGGAAACGGUGGCUAAUACCGGAUAAGCCGAUUGGUGAAAGAUUUAUUGCCCGAAGAGGAGCUCGCGUCUGAUUAGCUAGUUGGUGAGGUAAGAGCUCACCAAGGCAGCGAUCAGUAGCUGGUCUGAGAGGACGAUCAGCCACACUGGGACUGAGAUACGGCCCAGACUCCUACGGGAGGCAGCAGUGGGGAAUUUUCCGCAAUGGGCGAAAGCCUGACGGAGCAAGACCGCGUGAGGGAGGAAGGCUCUUGGGUUGUAAACCUCUUUUCUCAGGGAAGAAGCUCUGACGGUACCUGAGGAAUCAGCCUCGGCUAACUCCGUGCCAGCAGCCGCGGUAAUACGGAGGAGGCAAGCGUUAUCCGGAAUUAUUGGGCGUAAAGCGUCCGCAGGUGGCGAUUCAAGUCUGCUGUCAAAGCACGGGGCUUAACUCCGUAAAGGCAGUGGAAACUGAAUAGCUAGAGUGCCGUAGGGGUAGAGGGAAUUCCCGGUGUAGCGGUGAAAUGCGUAGAGAUCGGGAAGAACAUCGGUGGCGAAAGCGCUCUACUGGACGGCAACUGACACUCAGGGACGAAAGCUAGGGGAGCGAAUGGGAUUAGAUACCCC
rnacentral:rRNA from 1 species